rnacentral:rRNA from 1 species
CCUACGGGAGGCAGCAGUGAGGAAUAUUGGUCAAUGGGCGGGAGCCUGAACCAGCCAAGCCGCGUGAGGGAAGAAGGUACAGCGUAUCGUAAACCUCUUUUGUCAGGGAACAAAGGCGGGGACUAGUCCCCGGAUGAGGGUACCUGAAGAAAAAGCAUCGGCUAACUCCGUGCCAGCAGCCGCGGUAAUACGGAGGAUGCGAGCGUUAUCCGGAUUUAUUGGGUUUAAUGGGUGGGCAGGCGGCCUGUUAAGUCAGCGGGAAAAGCCCUGGGCUCAACCCCGGCGAGCCGUUGAAACUGGCGGGCUGGAGUUGGAGAGAAGUACGCGGAAUGCGCGGUGUAGCGGUGAAAUGCUUAGAUAUCGCGCAGAACCCCGAUUGCGAAGGCAGCGUACCGGCUCCACACUGACGCUGAGGCACGAAAGCGUGGGUAUCGAACAGGAUUAGAUACCCUGGUAGUC